rnacentral:rRNA from 1 species
GACGAACGCUGGCGGCGUGCUUAACACAUGCAAGUCGAGCGCUGAAGCUUGGUGCUUGCACUGGGUGGAUGAGUGGCGAACGGGUGAGUAAUACGUGAGUAACCUGCCCUUGACUCUGGGAUAAGCCUGGGAAACUGGGUCUAAUACUGGAUACGACAUGUCACCGCAUGGUGGUGUGUGGAAAGGGUUUUACUGGUUUUGGAUGGGCUCACGGCCUAUCAGCUUGUUGGUGGGGUAAUGGCUCACCAAGGCGACGACGGGUAGCCGGCCUGAGAGGGUGACCGGCCACACUGGGACUGAGACACGGCCCAGACUCCUACGGGAGGCAGCAGUGGGGAAUAUUGCACAAUGGGCGGAAGCCUGAUGCAGCGACGCCGCGUGAGGGAUGACGGCCUUCGGGUUGUAAACCUCUUUCAGCACGGAAGAAGCGAAAGUGACGGUACGUGCAGAAGAAGCGCCGGCUAACUACGUG